rnacentral:rRNA from 1 species
UAGGGAAUCUUCGGCAAUGGACGAAAGUCUGACCGAGCAACGCCGCGUGAGUGAAGAAGGUUUUCGGAUCGUAAAACUCUGUUGGUAGAGAAGAACGUUGGUGAGAGUGGAAAGCUCAUCAAGUGACGGUAACUACCCAGAAAGGGACGGCUAACUACGUGCCAGCAGCCGCGGUAAUACGUAGGUCCCGAGCGUUGUCCGGAUUUAUUGGGCGUAAAGCGAGCGCAGGUGGUUUAUUAAGUCUGGUGUAAAAGGCAGUGGCUCAACCAUUGUAUGCAUUGGAAACUGGUAGACUUGAGUGCAGGAGAGGAGAGUGGAAUUCCAUGUGUAGCGGUGAAAUGCGUAGAUAUAUGGAGGAACACCGGUGGCGAAAGCGGCUCUCUGGCCUGUAACUGACACUGAGGCUCGAAAGCGUGGGGAGCAAACAGGAUUAGAUACCCUGGUAGUCCACGCCGUAAACGAUGAGUGCUAGAUGUAGGGAGCUAUAAGUUCUCUGUAUCGCAGCUAACGCAAUAAGCACUCCGCCUGGGGAGUACGACCGCAAGGUUG